AAUCAAAGGUUCACAGCAAGAAGCGAGAGGAAAUGAAGAGGUGGUGGAGCAGGUGGGUUUCUUUUCCUGAAAAACGCAGCAGAGGAGGAGGAGGAGGAGGAGGCGGGAGCCUCCCGGCUGGUAUCUGCUGUACUAUUCGCUGAGGUAAUCUUCAGCUGUCAGCUUGUUGUUUUCUCCUCCCAUCUACAGAAGCGGAACGCUUCCUGUCCUCCCUUUACCUCUGCACAGGAUCGGCUCUCAUCCAGCGGCUGCCUCCUUCCUCUCCGCUCUCUCUCCGGGUAAACGGAUGAGCACACUUUCAUUUCCUCACAUUAACUCACAGUUUGUUCUCCCUCUCUCUCCCAGGCUGACAUCAGUGGGGGUCCGGCUGAGGGGGUUUGUGUCGCUCGACCAUGUCUGUUUGCCUGCCAGCGACAGAGUGACAGUCUCAUAUCUUUGAAGGUAGCAGGGGAGAAGAGCUCACCAUGGAAGAGCACGUGGCGCACGGCAUUGUGCCUUUGUUUAGAAAUCAGCAAAAUGCAAAAAUGGAUUAUAUGCAUAAAAACGUCCUCCACUUGAACUCUUUGUUUAUGGAGCCAUCUUUAGUAGCAAUUCAGUGUUAAUGCUGAGUCAGCAUUAAUUUGUUUACGGUUUCUUCUGUGUGCAGCAGGGCGGAGCAGUGGUUAGAGCUGUGGCCUCACACAAAGAAGGUCGUAGGUUCGUCACCCAGCCUGGGGCCUUUUUGUGCAUGAGCAGGUUUUAUUAAGGUGUGAGUGUUUGUCUCAUUUGCCUCUGUGAUGGACUUGUGACCUGUCCAUGGUGUCCCCUGCUUCUCGCACAAUGACCACUGGAGAUAGGUAUCAGCUCCCUGUGAACCAUGUUGGAAAAKUGGGUAAAAGGAAAUGGAUGGAUGGAGUUUCCUCGUUACUUUUUUUGACCCUACCUACGGUAAUUCAGCRUAUUUUCAGGCUGGAGAGGAGAGCAGGUG